GUGGGGAAUCUUCCGCAAUGGACGAAAGUCUGACGGAGCAACGCCGCGUGAGUGAAGAAGGUUUUCGGAUCGUAAAGCUCUUUCGUUAGGGACGAACGUGCUCUUUGUGAAUAAUGAGGAGUAAUGACGGUACCUAAAUAAGAAGCCACGGCUAACUACGUGCCAGCAGCCGCGGUAAUACGUAGGUGGCAAGCGUUGUCCGGAAUUAUUGGGCGUAAAGCGCGCGCAGGCGGGAUAUCAAGUCUGCCUUAAAAGUGCGAGGCUCAACCUCGUGAGGGGACAGAAACUGGUAUUCUUGAGUGUCGGAGAGGAAAGUGGAAUUCCAAGUGUAGCGGUGAAAUGCGUAGAGAUUUGGAAGAACACCAGUGGCGAAGGCGACUUUCUGGACGAUGUCUGACGCUGAGGCGCGAAAGCUAGGGGAGCGAACGGGAUUAGAAACCCUAGUAGUCC
rnacentral:rRNA from 1 species